UUUUAGACAUUGAUCAUGCCUCAGGAUGAACCCUGGCGGUAUGCUUAACACAUGCAAGUCGAACGGAGUACAGGGUACUUAGUGGCGGACCGGCGAGUAACGCGUGAGAAUCUGCCUUCAGGAUGGGGAUAACAGUGGGAAACCAUUGCUAAUAAUUCAAUGAGCCGAGAGGUAAAAAAUUUAUUGCCUGAAGAGGAGCUCGCGUCCGAUUAGUUAGUUGGUGGGGUAAAGGCUUACCAAGACGGCGAUCGGUAAAUGGUCUGAGAGGAUGAGCACCCUCAUUGGGACUGAGACACGGCCCAGACUCCUACGGGAGGCAGCAGUGGGGAAUUUUCCGCAAUGGGCGAAAGCCUGUCGGAGCAAUACCGCGUGAGGGAGGAAGGCCUUUGGGUUGUAAACCUCUUUUCUUAAGGAAGAAGAUCUGACGGUACUUAAGGAAUCAGCAUCGGCUAACUCCGUGCCAGCAGCCGCGGUAAUACGGAGGAUGCAAGCGUUAUCCGGAAUUAUUGGGCGUAAAGCGUCCGCAGGCGGCACUAUAAGUCUGCUGUCAAAGACCGCAGCUCAACUGCGGAAAGGCAGUGGAAACUGUAGAGCUAGAGUACGGUAGGGGUAGAGGGAAUUCCCAGUGUAGCGGUGAAAUGCGUAGAGAUUGGGAAGAACACCAGUGGCGAAAGCGCUCUACUGGGCCGUAACUGACGCUCAGGGACGAAAGCUAGGGGAGCGAAAGGGAUUAGAUACCCCUGUAGUCCUAGCUGUAAACGAUGA
rnacentral:rRNA from 1 species